rnacentral:rRNA from 1 species
CAGAUCGCAUGGCCUUGCGCCGGCGACGGUUCAUUCAAAUUUCUGCCCUAUCAACUUUCGAUGGUAAGGUAUUGGCUUACCAUGGUUUCAACGGGUAACGGGGAAUUAGGGUUCGAUUCCGGAGAGGGAGCCUGAGAAACGGCUACCACAUCCAAGGAAGGCAGCAGGCGCGCAAAUUACCCAAUCCCGACACGGGGAGGUAGUGACAAUAAAUACUGAUACAGGGCUCUUUUGGGUCUUGUAAUUGGAAUGAGUACAAUUUAAACCUCUUAACGAGGAACAAUUGGAGGGCAAGUCUGGUGCCAGCAGCCGCGGUAAUUCCAGCUCCAAUAGCGUAUAUUAAAGUUGUUGCAGUUAAAAAGCUCGUAGUUGAACCUUUGGCCUGGCUGGCAGGUCCGCCUCACCGCGUGUACUUGUCCGGCCGGGCCUUUUCUUCUGGAGAACCGCAUGCCCUUCACUGGGUGUGUUGGGGACCAGGACUUUUACUUUGAAAAAAUUAGAGUGUUCAAAGCAGGCCUUUGCUCGAAUACGUUAGCAUGGAAUAAUAGAAUAGGACGUGCGGUCCUAUUUUGUUGGUUUCUAGGACCGCCGUAAUGAUUAAUAGGGACAGUCGGGGGCAUCAGUAUUCAAUUGUCAGAGGUGAAAUUCUUGGAUUUAUUGAAGACUAACUACUGCGAAAGCAUUUGCCAAGGAUGUUUUCAUUAAUCAGUGAACGAAAGUUAGGGGAUCGAAGACGAUCAGAUACCGUCGUAGUCUUAACCAUAAACUAUGCCGACUAGGGAUCGGGCGGUGUUUCUUUUUGACUCGCUCGGCACC